GGCUCUGAAUUUCCAGCUGGAAAUGGUAUUUCCAGCCAGGUUUCCAACUGGAAUUAGCCCUUCCAGCUGGAAAUUUUCCAGAGCCAGCUGGAAAUAGCUGGAAAUGGCACUUUCCAGCUGGAAGUGGAAUCCACCUCAGCUGGUCUUCCAGCUGGAAGCAGCACUUCCAGCUGGAAGUUUUCCAGCUACAGCUGGAAACAACUGGAUACAGCAUUUUUCAGCUGGAAACAGCGCUUCCAGCUGGAAACAACUGGGUAGAGUAUUUUCCAGCUGGAAGUAGAAUCUACCGACUGGAAAGUGGCAAGCGUACAAUAGCGGGAUGGUUUCCACUUGCAUUAAGACAUUUUUUAUAUCUGCAACAUGCCCAUAUUUAGUCCUAGGUGGUGUUUGUAUCGGAACGAAAGCUUUACUCUUGCAGCGGCAAAAGUUUUGUUUUUCUUCGUUUGUGUUGUGACAGCAAUUGUAAUUAAUUGCAUGAACUGCAUGGAAAUGCUCAUCACUCAGGGUACCUUUGAUCGCGAUCGGGCCUGAUCGGGAUCGAUUGCAAUCGAAAGUGCCCUGUGUGAUCGAGUUGCCAAAAAAAAAAAAACAUAUCACCAGGAAAACCGCCACUUUUAUUGAACCUUACUUGUAGUAGACAAAAGCGACGCGCUCCUGAUCGACACUGUUAUCAAUUGCUACACUGUCGACGUCGUCUAGCGAGGAGCUUGCCCGAUUGGUCAUGAUGAGCCGUUGCACAAAUGGCUAGUGUUUACAGCAUAGCAAUUCCUUCCCUGGCUGCCAAAAAAAGAGCCCUAACAUAUGGCACCUUCAGCAGUUAUCAGGCUGCAGUGACCGCUGCUCCUAUCUUUUCCUUCCUGCACAACGCCGCUACAAUCGCCGCCAUUUUUGUUGAAUGCUUAGUAGCUUUAGUCUCGUAUCUUGUCUUGAUGUGCACUUUUGACACUAAUAAUAAAAUAAUAGGCUGGUAUUGCAAUAUUAGUAGUUCGCAGACAAGCUCGGAUUUUUAUUCGAAGCAAACAGCAGCAUUACAGAUGCAGGCCGAAUAUAUAAAAUAUGACGACGCCACGGUGCCCCCAGUUUCGUACAGCACAUGGCGGCACAUAGCCGGGCAGUAAAACAACGUGAGACUCUCGGGUGUGCUUUAGUGAUUGAUGAACAAGUUUUUAUGAGGAACCUGCAUGAUCUUGCAUAUGAAGUAAUUCAUUUUAAACAGUUUCUUCUCUGGACGACGUUACAAGUACAGGCAAGCGGGUGUCAACGGUUUUUAUUGCUGUAAUUUGUGGUGUUGUGGAUUCACCAGUGCGGAUCGAACAGCACCGUUUUCUCCAGCCCUGAUUCUACCAUAUCGAGAUGGUGUACAAGGAGAUGCGCAAGUGUAUUCCACAUCUUGAGGGAGAUGCAAGAUAUGCUUCCGCGAUCCUUGCUGCAGGUGUUCAAAUAAAUGAUUUAAAGUUUCA